rnacentral:rRNA from 1 species
AGAGUUUGAUCCUGGCUCAGGAUGAACGCUAGCGACAGGCCUAACACAUGCAAGUCGAGGGGCAGCGCGGAUUAAGCUUGCUUAAUCUGGCGGCGACCGGCGCACGGGUGCGUAACAGGUGUGCAAUCUGUCCAUAAUCGGGGAAUAGCCCAGCGAAAGUUGGAUUAAUGCUCCAUGUGAGCAGGGGAGGCAUCUCCUUUGUUUGAAACGCAAGGAUUAUGGGUGAGCACGCUUCUGAUUAGGUAGUUGGUGAGGUAACGGCUCACCAAGCCGACGAUCAGUAGGGGUUCUGAGAGGAAGGUCCCCCACAUUGGAACUGAGACACGGUCCAAACUCCUACGAGAGGCAGCAGUGAGGAAUAUUGGUCAAUGGACGGAAGUCUGAACCAGCCAAGUCGCGUGAAGGAUGAAGGUUCUAUGGAUUGUAAACUGCUUUUAUAUGAGAAUAAAACGUGGGACGUGUCCCGCCUUGUAGGUAUCAUAUGAAUAAGGACCGGCUAAUUCCGUGCCAGCAGCCGCGGUAAUACGGAAGGUCCGGGCGUUAUCCGGAUUUAUUGGGUUUAAAGGGAGCGUAGGCCGGGUUUUAAGCGUGUUGUGAAAGUUAGCGGCUCAACCGUUAAAUUGCAGCGCGAACUGGAGCCCUUGAGUGCGCCGGAAGUAGGCGGAAUUCGUGGUGUAGCGGUGAAAUGCUUAGAUAUCACGAAGAACUCCGGUUGCGAAGGCAGCUUACUGUCGCGUCACUGACGCUGAAGCUCGAAAGCGCGGGUAUCGAACAGGAUUAGAUACCCUGGUAGUCCGCGCGGUAAACGAUGGAUACUCGCCGUUCGCCCACUUGAGGGUGAGUGGCCCAGCGAAAGCGUUAAGUAUCCCACCUGGGGAGUACGCCGGCAACGGUGAAACUCAAAGGAAUUGACGGGGGCCCGCACAAGCGGAGGAACAUGUGGUUUAAUUCGAUGAUACGCGAGGAACCUUACCCGGGCUUGAACUGCCGGCGAACGAUACAGAGAUGUUGAGGCCCUUCGGGGCGCCGGUGGAGGUGCUGCAUGGUUGUCGUCAGCUCGUGCCGUGAGGUGUCGGCUUAAGUGCCAUAACGAGCGCAACCCCUGUCCUUAGUUGCCAUCAGUUGAAGCUGGGCACUCUGAGGAUACUGCCACCGCAAGGUGUGAGGAAGGUGGGGAUGACGUCAAAUCAGCACGGCCCUUACGUCCGGGGCUACACACGUGUUACAAUGGGGGGUACAGAGUGUCAACUGCCAGCAAUGUCAGUUCAAUCAAUAAAGCCCUCCUCAGUUCGGACUGGGGUCUGCAACCCGACCCCACGAAGCUGGAUUCGCUAGUAAUCGCGCAUCAGCCAUGGCGCGGUGAAUACGUUCCCGGGCCUUGUACACACCGCCCGUCA